GACGAACGCUGGCGGCGUGCUUAACACAUGCAAGUCGAACGGACUGGCCCUGCUUUUGCUGGUUGCUUGUUUGCCGCGCGGGUGAGUAACACACGAGUAUCCUCCCCUUGUCUUUCUGAUAACUUCUGGGAACUCCGUCUCAUACCCGAUAGGAGCUCCUGCUCCAUGGUGUUGGUUGGAAAGUUUCGGCCGUUGUGGCUGGACUCGCGGGUUCUCCGCUUGUUGGUGGGGUAGUUGCUGACCAAGGCUUUGACGGGUAGCCUGCCUGAGAGGGUGACCGGCCACAUUGGGACUGAGAGACGGCGCAGACGCGUACGGGAGGCAGCAGGGGGGAAUAUUGCACAAUGGGCGGAAGCGUGAUGCAGCAACGCCGCGUGCGGGAUGACGGCCUUCGGGUUGUAAACCGAUUUCGCAUGUGACGAAGAGUGAGUGACGGUAAUGGGUAAAGAAGCAACGGCUAACUACGUG
rnacentral:rRNA from 1 species